rnacentral:rRNA from 1 species
AAGGGCACCACAAGAACGCGUGGAGCAUGUGGCUUAAUUUGACUCAACGCGGGAAAUCUUACCGGGUCCGGACACACUGAGGAUUGACAGGCAAUAUAUUAGCAUAAAGACUCGUCUUUAGCGCUAAUUGUUAAAUAUGCUAGUCCUUUCAUGAUUAUGUGAUAGGUGGUGCAUGGCCGUUCUUAGUUCGUGGAGUGAUCUGUCUGCUUAAUUGCGUUUCACUAAGGGCCCAUAAAUUCAAGGUAUGUUAGCAAAUGCUGCUCUAUUGACCCCUAAUAGGCUUAACUGUCUUUAGCGCGUGUCUCUACGAGUUCUUUAAAGCACUGCGCAUGCUGUUGGGUCCUGAAAGCAACGAACGUGACCGCAACGUCUUGUUGCCUCUCUAUAAUACCUUCUUAUUUUUAAUAAGAGUAUUUACCUGAGGCUAUUUUAAAACUAGACGGACCGCUGUUUCUUUCUUAAACCAGAGGAAGGUUGCGGCAAUAACAGGUCUGUGAUGCCCUUAGAUGUUCCGGGCUGCACACGUGCUACAAUGAUCAGUACAGUGAGCAUCUCAAUUUUAUAACACCGUAUUAAGCGCUUGGGUCGUAAUUGUUAGGCCUUUUGGGUUUUUUCAAUUGCGUUUCUCCAAUGCGCACGGUAAAGCCUGCUUCGAGAGUAAGUGGGUAAUCCAUUGGAAGUAAUGAUUUCCUUAUUUUUAUAAACAGCACACCAAUAUACGGCAUUCAUUCCCGAGACGGCUUAGUUCCGACUUUGUGCGAAUGUAAUGUAUUCUUAUCCGUAUGUGCGAUUGUCAAUUCAUGGUGGGGACAGACCAUGUUAAUUGUGGUCUCGGUCUAACUAGGAAUGCCUU